rnacentral:rRNA from 1 species
GAUGAACGCUGGCGGCGUGCCUAAUACAUGCAAGUCGAGCGAACAGAUGAGGAGCUUGCUCCUCUGACGUUAGCGGCGGACGGGUGAGUAACACGUGGAUAACCUACCUAUAAGACUGGGAUAACUUCGGGAAACCGGAGCUAAUACCGGAUAAUAUAUUGAACCGCAUGGUUCAAUAGUGAAAGACGGUUUUGCUGUCACUUAUAGAUGGAUCCGCGCCGCAUUAGCUAGUUGGUAAGGUAACGGCUUACCAAGGCAACGAUGCGUAGCCGACCUGCGGGUGGCCCUCCCGAUGGAGAGUGUGACCCGGGCUCAGCGCCUGGGUGGGCAAGGGGUGGGCACUGUGCCGGAUUGGCGGAAACCCUGCCGGAGUGUCCCGGCCGGGGGGAUGAAGGACCACGGUCCGUAAAGGCCUUUUAUGGGGAAAGAACAAAUCCGUACGCAGCUAUGCGGGCCUGGCCGUUCCCUAAUCAGAACCCAGCGGCCAACACUGU